rnacentral:rRNA from 1 species
UACAGAGGUCCCAAGCGUUGUUCGGAUUCAUUGGGCGUAAAGGGUGCGUAGGCGGCGCGGUAAGUCGGGUGUGAAAUCUCGGGGCUUAACUCCGAAAUUGCAUUCGAUACUGCGGUGCUUGAGGACUGGAGAGGAGACUGGAAUUCACGGUGUAGCAGUGAAAUGCGUAGAUAUCGUGAGGAAGACCGGUGGCGAAGGCGGGUCUCUGGACAGUUCCUGACGCUGAGGCACGAAGGCCAGGGGAGCAAACGGG